UUUUGUUCUUGUAUGGCGAACAACCAGAUUCACUUUACUCGGCUGCUAAAAGAUAUGGGCUCACAUUUCAGAUGCUAUGUGGUUCCCUCUCAUGGAUUUGUCUCAAAGGAGUAGUUUAGUGCUGGAGGCCCCACAAAAGCAUCUGGCCCCUCUGGGAAAAGAGAGAGAAGCAGCCAAAGCCGAGGAGCAGCAGCAGAGCGAGGAGCUGCUGGUAGGUACCUGGGAGCCCCCUGCCCCUCAGGUUUGCCUGGGAUCACAGUGCCCUGAGUCAGCGACUCUCAACCUUUCCAAAC